rnacentral:tRNA from 2 species
ACCGACUUAGUAUAAUAAGUGCGUGAGAUUGUAAAUCUUGAAGAGGGUUUUCCAGUCGGAG